rnacentral:tRNA from 1 species
GGGCCCUUAGCUCAGCGGUGAGAGCGGCUGACUCAUAAUCAGCGGGUCGCAGGUUCGAAUCCUGCAGGGCCCC